AUACGGAGGGUCCAAGCGUUAUCGGGAAUCAUUGGGUUUAAAGGGUCCGCAGGCGGUCAAUUAAGUCAGAGGUGAAAGCCCAUCGCUCAACGAUGGAACUGCCUUUGAUACUGGUUGACUUGAGUUAUACGGAAGUAGAUAGAAUAAGUAGUGUAGCGGUGAAAUGCAUAGAUAUUACUUAGAAUACCGAUUGCGAAGGCAGUCUACUACGUAUAUACUGACGCUGAGGGACGAAAGCGUGGGGAGCGAACAGGAUUAGAAACCCUAGUAGUCC
rnacentral:rRNA from 1 species